CUGGUUUUCCCCUCGGGUGUUGGGCCCGCGGUGUCUUCCAGAGACCUGGGCCGAAUCGCCGCCUCUGCAGGUCCUGGCCGGGUACAAAGUCCUGGGACAGCGCGGGGCGGUGCCUCCUCGCCACCGCCUUCUGCCCUCCCCCCGCACUCUCCCCGCCACCCCGGCUCUUACCGCAGAAGAGGAACCCAACGUAGAGGAUACAGUGGGCACCUCCAGCCUUGGAAGCUGGCGACCUAAGUCCGAGGGAUGUCGCUAAAUCGUCCAGGCGAGCCCGGAAGUCGUGGUCCUCCUGCUUCAACCUCAGGGAAGUUGGGAUCGCUGGCAUGUGCCGCAGAGCCUGGCUGUGAUUAACGUCUGAAAGUUUCCUUUGCUCGCUUUCAUUGUCAUCUGCAGAGCCAAUCAUUUGAACAUCCAUCCAACCACCAGGUUAAGGGUAUCUUGCAAACACAAUGCACAUUGUGAGAGUUUUUAAACAUUCAACCUGAGCAUUUCAGGUCUUUCAUUGCUGAGGUGAGUAAUUUAUACGAGUUUCAUUUGGACUUUUUCUUAAAUAUCUGGA